rnacentral:tRNA from 3 species
GGAAGGGUAGCGAAGAGGCUAAACGCGGCGGACUGUAAAUCCGCUCCUUUGGGUUCGGGGGUUCGAAUCCCUCCCCUUCCA